rnacentral:rRNA from 1 species
UUUUAUGAGAGUUUGAUCCUGGCUCAGGAUGAACGCUGGCGGCGUGCCUAACACAUGCAAGUCGAGCGAGAAAUAGGGGAACGGAGGUUUCGACCAAAGCAAACCUAUGGAAAGCGG